AGUUGUAUCCUGGCUCAGGACGAACGCUGGCGGCGUGCCUAAUACAUGCAAGUCGAGCGGAGAAAUGGGAGCUUGCUCCCAUUUCUCAGCGGCGGACGGGUGAGUAACACGUGGGCAACCUGCCCUGCAGACUGGGAUAACUCCGGGAAACCGGAGCUAAUACCGGGUAAUACGUAGCAUCGCAUGAUGCAACGUUGAAAGUUGGCUUUCGAGCUAACACUGUAGGAUGGGCCCGCGGCGCAUUAGCUAGUUGGUAAGGUAACGGCUUACCAAGGCCACGAUGCGUAGCCGACCUGAGAGGGUGAUCGGCCACACUGGGACUGAGACACGGCCCAGACUCCUACGGGAGGCAGCAGUAGGGAAUCUUCCGCAAUGGACGAAAGUCUGACGGAGCAACGCCGCGUGAGUGACGAAGGCCUUCGGGUCGUAAAGCUCUGUUGUUAGGGAAGAACAAGUACCGUUCGAAUAGGGCGGUACCUUGACGGUACCUAACCAGAAAGCCACGGCUAACUACGUGCCAGCAGCCGCGGUAAUACGUAGGUGGCAAGCGUUGUCCGGAAUUAUUGGGCGUAAAGCGCGCGCAGGCGGUCUCUUAAGUCUGAUGUGAAAGCCCACGGCUCAACCGUGGAGGGCCAUUGGAAACUGGGGGACUUGAGUGCAGAAGAGGAGAGUGGAAUUCCACGUGUAGCGGUGAAAUGCGUAGAUAUGUGGAGGAACACCAGUGGCGAAGGCGGCUCUCUGGUCUGUAACUGACGCUNANGCGCGAAAGCGUGGGGAGCGAACAGGAUUAGAUACCCUGGUAGUCCACGCCCGUAAACNAUGAGUGCUAGGUGUUNGG
rnacentral:rRNA from 1 species